AGUAACUGGGUUGAGAUGGGGAACAGACAGCCUUACAGCACUCUGAUCAGACCUGACCUGCAACUGGUGAACCUGGCAGGACCCAGCACUCCGACCUGUAGGAACUGUAUAGGAGGUAACUGUACUGAUAACAUCCUACCAGAGGUCUUACAGCAGGGCCUGCUCACCUCUGGAUACUUCAACCUGUUCUCCUCCAACAAACCUGCAGGUAAGUGUAGCCACGGCGGGUUUUUUGACCGGACCA